CAAAACAAAGCUCAGCGGACUAUAAUACCUCCCGCUACCUCCCGUUCUAAAGUCGUAGCUAUGGUCCGUCCUAAUUACUGGAGGAGUGAACAACGUUUCCGUUGCAUGAGAACCCAACGGGCGUGUAAUGGUGGUUCCGGGUAUUAGUCGGACCCUCAGGCGUAACCAGGGAAAGAAAUGAAAAGUUGCCUACCAUCCUGAGACUUGACCAACUGGUCCCAGGGCCAGACUGGGACCCCCAUGCCAACAGGACAGCGGUCCAGAGAUAUACUGGCCAAACAACGCCAGAAAUCGAAGUAGGUUCGGCUCCGGUGGGUUUUCGGAACAUCGCAGACCAGCUGCCCGUCACCGAUUUGGACGUAAGCCGACGACAUGCGGGCGUUCGGCAGGGAGACACUCCCCGCGGGGAGAACUUUCUGCGGUUUACCGAACAACUGGGAUAAGGAUGCGAGGAGAUGUAAAUAAAGAGUCCAACUGUGUCUUUAGUUUGUCUCUCUCUGUUGGGCCUUGCUUGAUUACCAGCAUAUGGAUA
ensembl:lncRNA